GGCAGACAGGAUGGAGCCAGGCAAAUAUAUACAUAGUUUCACUCUCUCAAAGAAAGGAAAAUGAAAAGGAAAAGGAAAAUAUCUCACACCCCUCUUUUACUGUUCUCGUUCUUCUUCUUAUUGUUGUUGUUUUAUUUUUGUUUUGUUUUGUUUCCCUCUUUUGAUAUUUUUAGAGGAGGAAGAGCAUAUGAUUAUUCGUCGAUGAUGGGUAUUUGUUUUUACACAUCAAAAUGCCAAGGAGAUUGUAUGUGAAGCAUUUUGAUGAUGGGGUUUUCACAUGUAUGCCAAAAUGUUUGUACCCAUUUUCCAGUACAUUUAAAUGGUCAUUAUUAGUGAUGAUGUAUGCUUUUCUCAUUUUUCCUUGCAUUCAGUUGCUUCGUCAAAUAUAAUGAUAUAGUUUUUCUACUUGUCUUUUC
rnacentral:misc_RNA from 1 species